AUUGAACGCUGGCGGCAUGCUUUACACAUGCAAGUCGAACGGUAACAGGCCUUCGGGCGCUGACGAGUGGCGAACGGGUGAGUAAUGCAUCGGAACGUGCCCAGUCGUGGGGGAUAACGCAGCGAAAGCUGUGCUAAUACCGCAUACGAUCUGCGGAUGAAAGCGGGGGACCUUCGGGCCUCGCGCGAUUGGAGCGGCCGAUGUCAGAUUAGGUAGUUGGCGGGGUAAAGGCCCACCAAGCCAACGACCUGUAGCUGGUCUGAGAGGACGACCAGCCCGACUGGGACGGAGCAACGGCCCCGACUCCUACGGGAGGCAGCAGUGGGGAAUUUUGGACAAUGGGCGCAAGCCUGAUCAAGCAAUGCCGCGUGCAGGAAGAAGGCCUUCGGGUUGUAAACUGCUUUUGUACGGAGCGAAAAGGCUCCCUCUAAUACAGGGGGCUCAUGACGGUACCGUAAGAAUAAGCACCGGCUAACUACGUGCCAGCCGCCGCCGUAAAAC
rnacentral:rRNA from 1 species